UUGGAGGUCUUCUGACACAGAUGCUCAGCUGCUUUUCCCUGCCUGUGAUACCAGUUAGGAAGACAGCUCUUACUCGCUGCCCUUUGCUCCAGGGAUGACUUUCUUUUUGGGUAGGAUUUGAGUUUUCAGAGGGAGUUCUUCUUUUAUCACCUGGUUGCCUUUGCUUCUAAAGCCCAAGAGAUGAACAUGCUGUGGGCUGUGGCUCUACUUCUAGCUUUCUUGGCUCCUGCCAGUCAGAGUGCUCCCAACUUGGAAUGGAGAAAGAGGUCAGUCACCGGGAAGACUGGGGCAACUGUGGAAAUCACUUGUGAUAUUGUUGUACAAACCAGCACCUACCUCCACUGGUACCAACACCUAGAGGGGAAGGCCCCACAACGCCUUCUCUACUACUAUCCCCGUUCCUCAAAGUUUUGGGUGGACUCGGGAAUCGAUCAACGGAAAUAUGAUGCUUAUACAAAUAGAGACAACAGCUACAAAUUACAAGUCCGAAAUCUGAAGGAAAGUGAUUCUGGCGUGUAUUACUGUGCGGUGUGGGACAGGCAUAGCUCAGGUUGGAUCAAGAAAUUUGGAGAAGGGACGAAGCUCUUAGUAAUGCCUCCCGGUAAAAGCCAAGAUGCAGAUCUUUCCCCAAAACCCACUAUGUUUCUUCCUUCAAUUGCUGAAAUAAAUUUUCAUCAGGCUGGAACAUACCUUUGUUUACUAGAGAACUUUUUCCCUGAUGAUAUUAAAGUAGAUUGGAAAGAAAAGGAUGACAGUAGAAUUCUGGAAUCUUAUGAGGGAAAAACAGUGAAGACUAAGGACGCGUACAUGAAAUCCAGCUGGCUGACUGUGAACGGGGCAUCGAUGAAGGAAGAACACAAAUGUAUAGUCAAACACGAGAAUAAUAAAGGAGGAGUUGAUCAAGAGAUUCUUUUUCCUCCAAUAAAUAAAGAUGUUCCUCUUACUGUUUCUGCAGAAACUACUUUGAAAGAUGAAAGUGAUGUACUGCAACUGCAGCUCAUGAGCACCUCUGCAUAUUACACCUACCUCUUCCUCCUCCUCAAGAGCACGGUCUACUUUGCCAUUGUUGUGUUCUGCCUGAAGAGAAGAACCGAGUUCUGUGGUUGUGGAAAGAGUCUGUGAGAUGGUGGCAUGAAGGAGCUCCCCGUUCCUCACCUUUACUGUCCCUAAAGCUUUCUGCUGGGGAUCUAGUUGGAUUUUCUUGCUGGUUUUGGGUAAUUUCAGUUCACAUGUGUGUUUUUCUAUUAUGUCAUUACUGCAUACUGGUGUCUUAAAGCACUGGAAAAACUCAGAGUAACAGUACACCGUAAUAACAGAAACUUCUGCCACUAUUCAGGGGCAGGGGUCGUCCUUGGAGCCUUUAGCACCAUUAUCUCCACAAUCCCUUCCAGCCCCUCCACCCCACCCAAAUAAUCAGCUGAGUGUAACAGCAUGUCCCUUAACCAGUGACUGCUUUAAGGCCCUCCAUCUCACACAGCCUGAAGCCAUCAGCUUUGCCACUUGGAUUCUAUAUUUUGUUUUUCAUAUACAGGCAAAAUAAAUAUUUUUUAAAAAUA